rnacentral:rRNA from 1 species
UUUUUUUGCGAUGACACGCAAUCAAUACAACUUUCAACAACGGAUCUCUUGGCUCUCGCAUCGAUGAAGAACGCAGCGAAAUGCGAUACGUAAUGUGAAUUGCAGAAUUCAGUGAAUCAUCGAAUCUUUGAACGCACCUUGCGCCCCUUGGCAUUCCGAGGGGCACACCCGUUUGAGUGUCGUGAAAUUCUCAAAACCCCUUCCUUUGCUGGAAAGGAUUUUGGACUUGGAGGUCUUUUGCUGGCUUCACCUCGAAGCGAGCUCCUCCUAAAUGGAUUAGUGGGGUCUGCUUUGCCGAUCCUUGACGUGAUAAGAUGUUUCUACGUCUCGGGCUUUGGCACUGUACCUCUGCUUCUAACCGUCUCAUUGACAAUGAUGGUGUUCCGGUCACCGCCGAUUCGUCGGUGGGAGGCUUGACCCACAAAACGACCUUGACCUCAAAUCGGGUGAGACUACCCGCUGAACUUAAGCAUAUCAAUAAGCGGAGGAAAAGAAACUAACAAGGAUUCCCCUAGUAACUGCGAGUGAAGCGGGAAAAGCUCAAAUUUAAAAU